UACGUAGGUGGCAAGCGUUGUCCGGAUUUAUUGGGUUUAAAGGGUGCGUAGGUGGGUUAGUAAGUCAGUGGUGAAAUCUCCGAGCUUAACUUGGAAACUGCCAUUGAUACUAUUAAUCUUGAAUACCGUGGAGGUCAGCGGAAUAUGUCAUGUAGCGGUGAAAUGCUUAGAUAUGACAUAGAACACCAAUUGCGAAGGCAGCUGGCUACACGAAUAUUGACACUGAGGCACGAAAGCGUGGGGAUCAAACAGG
rnacentral:rRNA from 1 species